rnacentral:rRNA from 1 species
AGCAGCAGCCACGGUAAUACAGAGGGUGCGAGCGUUAAUCGGAUUUACUGGGCGUAAAGCGUGCGUAGGCGGCUUCUUAAGUCGGAUGUGAAAUCCCCGAGCUUAACUUGGGAAUUGCAUUCGAUACUGGUUAGCUAGAGUGUGGGAGAGGAUGGUAGAAUUCCAGGUGUAGCGGUGAAAUGCGUAGAGAUCUGGAGGAAUACCGAUGGCGAAGGCAGCCAUCUGGCCUAACACUGACGCUGAGGUACGAAAGCAUGGGGAGCAAACAGGAUUAGAUACCCCCGUAGUCCCUGUCUCUUAUAC